GAAAUCUAGGGAUUUAUUAAAUUGUGCUGGCGCCAUUUUUUGUUGUUAUUAAAUAUAUUUUUGUUCAAAUAGUAUGAUUAUUGUCAUUAUUUAUUGUUCCCUGACAUAAAUAUUCCUAAUUAAACAUUAAAACAUUACCUAAUCAAUGAUUAAAGUGGAUUAAACAUAGUGUUUAAUAGGUUAUAAAUUAAAUUGACAGCUGUCAUCUGCCAAUUUCUUCUUUUUUAGGUCAAAUUAAUACGAUUUAGGGAUUUCUAGGGGAAAUUGAAGCUCCCAUCUAGGGAUAUUCUGAAAUUUCAUCUGGCAACCCUGUUAUAGUUAUCCUAAAAUCCUAACAAACAAAACAAAGUCGGGAACAAUGGAUAAAAGCCAGAAGGAGAACAAAAUUAAAAUAUGAAAGAAUAUGCAAUAAACAUUGUAUAAGUGGUAAUUCAAUUAAUAAGGUUUUUAAAAAAUGUCUACAAUAUGAUAACGAUGUACCUAAUAAGUAAUAAUUCAAACUUAAUUAUUAGGAAAGCCAGCCACUUUAAAAAGAUAUUCCAAACCAAAACAUGGGUUACCAAAGCAGGCAAUAAAAAGAAAAGGUGAUCUAGAAUGCAAGAAAAGAGCUGAUGAAAGAAGUAAAUGUAAAGAAAAUAAUGCGGAGACUUCUCUCGACCAUGAACAAACACCAGAUAUUUUAAAUGUAGAAAAAGGAAAAACUGCUGGAACUUUAAUUUAAAGGCUUUUGACUAGUGAAGAUUUGGAUAAACAACAGGAGUUACUUUGGGCUAUAGCUACGUGCAAAUUUAUUUUCUUGUGGCUUCCUAUGUUUAUUCUUAUUAACUAUACACUUUGAUAUGUUUUUAGUCGCAUGAAGAUUUUAUAGUUUAUUAUUUUAUGUAUAUUGUUAUAUUUGUGUUGAAUAAACAUUAUUAUUAUUAUUA